rnacentral:sRNA from 1 species
ACGUACCGUUCGUUCACCCCGGUGACUCCGUGCCGUCCACACCCACGUGACGACUGCUCGCUACGUUGCGUUGGCC